rnacentral:lncRNA from 1 species
GAGCUUUUCCAUCCUCGGCCGCCGCCGCCCGCGCCUUCCCGGCUCUCCGCGUCCCGGGCGCCCCCUCCCGCCCGGCCACCCGCAGCGUCCCCGCGCCCUUCUGGCCAUCCUGCUCUCUCCCUCUCCUCACCCCUGCUGUGGCCUGCAUCCCUCUCUGGCACCGCUACCCCUCUGGUUGGACAUCCCUGAGGCCAAUGCCUGCACCUCCAGGAGAGUCAGAGGCCAGAACACAGCCAGGGGCGGCUAGAAAGAGAUGACAGAUGAAAGAGACAGAGCCUGGCACAGAGGCAUGAAGAGGUUUGUCAUAUUAUCCUUGUGGAAACAAUGAAGAAAUGUGGGCUGCGUGAUGGACCUACUUGGAGGAUUCCUAACUGGUGACUCACUGUACCCAAUGAGGUAUGAUGACGAUAGAGUUUGUGUCUUCCCAGCCAGAGGUCUUUGGGCCUGUGAUUCAGUCCUGGUCAUGUGAUGUCUCCAUCAGUGGCUCAGAUGAAGAUGUAGGUGUCCAGCUCAUCACACUUCCAGAUGACACAAAGAGGAACAGGAUCAUUAAUAGGUUGGAUGACAGAAUUGAUGUUCGAAAUGAUCUUGACAGGCUGGAACGAUGACCCUAUAUGAACGAAUGACAUUUGGAGGAAGGCGGAUGCGGAGUCCUGCAGGCAAGUUGAAAAGAUUAGAAGCACAAAUAUGGGGCUGAAAGCCCUGGUUUAAGAAUGAAACCCUUGAAAAAGACCAAGUUUAUUUGACAGCUAAUUCAUUGUGAAUCAAUUGUGUGGCACAGCCAGAAGUCUGAUGACUCCCAGGCUCCCGAGCUGCCUUAGUAGACGCAGAAAGCUUGGAAUACGGAAGGUCAACGGUCCCACUAGGUUCCGUAUUUUGCUGCGUUCAGGGCUGAGAACCCUUCUUAAGAGUAAUGUCCAGGGGAGGGCCACCCCCAUGGUAAAGGAUCUAAACACUAAGUCCUAUGAGUAGAGUGACCAUAAAAUUUAUUACCUAAACUGGGACACAUCUGAGAGUGACAGAAAGUGUUAUUAACAACUGCAAUGUAUAAUAGUUCUACCUUUGAGGCAUCAUUGGAAGAACCAGGACUUUUUAUACUGGAGAAGAAAAGAAUUCAAAUAACCAAAUGGUUGUCAUAUGAGAAGGAGAAUAGGUUUCUAUGGCCUAUUAUUUUUCAAAAUGAUUGUUUAAAAAGGAACACCUGCU